rnacentral:rRNA from 1 species
GACGAACGCUGGCGGCGUGCCUAAUACAUGCAAGUAGAACGCAGUUGCGAACGGGUGAGUAACGCGUAGGUAACUGCCUCAUAGCGGGGGAUAACUAUUGGAACCGAUAGCUAAUACCGCAUACUGUGAGAUGGACCUGCGUUUUAUUAGCUAGUUGGUGAGGUAAAUGCUCACCAAGGCGACGAUACAUAGCCGACCUUGGAGGGUGAACGGCCACACUGGGACUGAGACACGGCCCAGGCUCCUUCGGGCGGCAGCAGGAGGGAAUCUUGGGCAAUGGACGGAAGUCUGGCCGAGCAACGCCGCGUGAGGGAAGAAGGUUUUCGGAUCGGAAAGCUCUGUUGUGAGGGGAGCGGUAACUAACCAGAAAGGGACGGCUAACUACGUGCCAGCCGCCGCGGUAAUUC